GCCUACGGGGCGCAGCAGUAGGGAAUUUUCGUCAAUGGGCGCAAGCCUGAACGAGCAAUGCCGCGUGAACGAGGAAGGUCUUCGGAUCGUAAAGUUCUUUUGAAGGGGAAAAAGAGCGGAGAGAGGAAAUGGUCUCCGAUUGAUAUUACCCUUCGAGGAAGUCACGGCUAACUACGUGCCAGCAGCCGCGGUAAUACGUAGGUGGCGAGCGUUAUCCGGCAUGAUUGGGCGUAAAGGGUGCGUAGGCGGCCUGCUAAGUCUGGAGUGAAAGGUACCGGCUCAACCGGUCCAGGCUCUGGGAACUG
rnacentral:rRNA from 1 species